UACGGAGGGUGCAAGCAUCAAUCGGAUUUAUUGGGCGUAAAGGGCGCGUAGGCGGGGAUGAAAGUCAGAUGUGAAAUCCCGAGGCUCAACCUCGGAACAGCAUUUGAAACUCCAUUUCUUGAGGAUAGGAGGAGAAAACGGAAUUCCACAUGUAGCGGUGAAAUGCGUAGAUAUGUGGAAGAGCAUCGGUGGCGAAGGCGGUUUUCUAUCUUAUUCCUGACGCUGAGGCGCGAAAGCAAGGGGAUCAAACAGG
rnacentral:rRNA from 1 species